CCUACGGGUGGCAGCAGUGGGGAAUAUUGCACAAUGGGGGAAACCCUGAUGCAGCGACGCCGCGUGAGUGAAGAAGUAUUUCGGUAUGUAAAGCUCUAUCGGCCGGGACGAAAAUGACGGUACCUUAUUAAGAAGCCCCGGCUAACUGCGUGCCAGCAGCCGCGGUAAUCCGUAGGGGGCGAGCGUUGUUCGGAUUUACUGGGUGUAAAGGGAGCGUAGGCGGAAGUAUAAGUCAGGAGUGAAAUGCCGGGGCUUAACCCCGGAACUGCUAUGGAGACUAUGUAGCUAGAGUGCAGGAGAGGAUAGUGGAAUACCUAGUGUAGCGGUGAAAUGCGUAGAUAUUAGGUAGAACACCAGUGGCGAAGGCGGCUUACUGGCCUGUAACUGACGUUGAGGCUCGAAAGCGUGGGGAGCAAACAGGAUUAGAUACCCCAGUAGUC
rnacentral:rRNA from 1 species